rnacentral:rRNA from 1 species
CCUACGGGAGGCAGCAGUGAGGAAUAUUGGUCAAUGGCCGGAAGGCUGAACCAGCCAAGCCGCGUGAAGGACGAAGGUGCCAAGCAUUGUAAACUUCUUUUAUAAAGGAAUAAAGUGAGGCACGUGUGCCUUUUUGUAUGUACCUUAUGAAUAAGGAUCGGCUAAAUCCGUGCCAGCAGCCGCGGUAAUACGGAGGAUCCGAGCGUUAUCCGGAUUUAUUGGGUUUAAAGGGAGCGUAGAUGGGUUGUUAAGUCAGUUGGGAAAGUUUGCGGCUCAACCGUAAAAUUGCAAUUGAUACUGGCAGCCUUGAGUACAGUUGAGGUAGGCGGAAUUCGUGGUGUAGCGGUGAAAUGCUUAGAUAUCACGAAGAACUCCGAUUGCGAAGGCAGCCUACUAAACUGCCACUGACAUUGAUGCUCGAAAGUGUGGGUAUCAAACAGGAUUAGAUACCCUAGUAGUC